rnacentral:rRNA from 1 species
GACGAACGCUGGCGGCGUGCUUAACACAUGCAAGUCGAACGGAAAGGCCCUGCUAUUGUGGGGUGCUCGAGUGGCGAACGGGUGAGUAACACGUGAGUAACCUGCCCUGGACUUUGGGAUAACUUCAGGAAACUGGGGCUAAUACCGGAUAGGAGCUCCAGCUGAAAGGAGGGGGAUGGAAAGUUUCGGCGGGAGGGGAUGGGCUCGCGGCUUAUCAGCUUGUUGGUGGGGUAGUGGCUUACCAAGGCUUAGACGGGUAGCCGGCCUGGGAGGGUGACCGGCCACAUUGGGACUGAGCUACGGCCCAGACUCCUACGGGAGGCAGCGGUGGGGAAUAUUGCACUAUGGGCGGAAGCCUGAUGCAGCGACGCCGCGUGCGGGAUGACGGCCUUCGGGUUGUAAACCGCUUUCGCCUGUGACGAAGCGUGAGUGACGGUAAUGUGUAAAGAAGCACCGGCUAACUACGUG